rnacentral:tRNA from 1 species
GGAGAGAUGGCCGAGUGGCUGAAGGCGCACGCUUGGAAAGCGUGUGUAGGGAAACCUACCGUGGGUUCGAAUCCCACUCUCUCCGCCA